AAAAACACACACACACACACACACACUCUCACACACACACACACACACAAAAUCCAACACUUACACAAACACACACACACACACACAUAGACACAGACACGUACACACACAAAGACACACGCACACAUUCACAUAAACACACAACAUCCACACUCUCAUUCAAUGACGCAUACAUACACACACAAACACACACUCCCAUAAAACAUACAAAAGAAAUACAGAUGCGUACAACUCACAUGUCAGAUAGAGUACAUCAUUACCUUUUAUGAUCUAUAAAAUACCAACGAGGACAAUCUUAUCAGAACGUCGGUGGCUCGUAAAACACAUACCGCAAAAAAAAUGUCUUUACGACGUACGCAAUGGGAAUACAACUUUGACCUUGUCUGUAUUGAUCAGAACGUUCCCGAUCAGAACACACAUUGCUUAAUCGCGUCGGAGUUGACUUGAUGACCCGGCUCGUCGGCGCCUAUCACCUCGCAAAAGUCGUUGCGUUCCCGCCCACGUUUUUCAAUCGCUCCUGUGCCUCUUCUACCAUGUGAACAUUAACAUGACAUUAACCCUGCAUUAUACUGGUUGGCAGACGGCGCCCUCAUCCACGGUGACUAACAAGGGAGGCCGAGUACAACAACAGCUUACCAUCAAAGCUGGAGCAGCUGUAAGAAACAAAGUUUAGCACAACCGAGUUUGAAAAACAAAACUGUGAGAGAGCGCAGAGGAUAAUAGGAAUCAGAAACACAAGGUGUGGGUGUAUGUGUCUGUGUGCGUGCGUGUGUGUGUGUCCUUGCACGUUUGCGCCUGUGCAUGUGUUUGCUCUUGCAUGGGGUGGGGUUGAGAAUGGGUGGCGAUGGCGGUGAUGGAGAUUGGGGGGUACCGGACUGCCUCCCGUAGCAGCUCGAGUGCUGCGCUGGGCAGGGAGCAGACAGAUUCGGACGGCCCUGGUGGACCCACGCUCCCGCAUGCAGGGGCAUCAUGCACAGCUCAGGUGAGCUUCCACACAACACCAUCGUUUAUCCCAGAUUCCUAGAUGUCGUUUGUUGGAUGGAUGCUGCAUUGCAUGACGUUAUCAUUGAUUUAAAAG
ensembl:lncRNA